CAUACGAACACCCUACACAGUGAGCAACUACAAGUCUCCAUUAUCCAUACAAACUGCAAACAGCGUUUGUAGGACGGAGUUAAAUUUAUCGUGUCUGAUACCGUACAUCAAGAAGGGUCGUGAAAUGCGAACAGAACGUUCUGUCAUGUAUAAAACACCCCAUAGAAAUGAUUCCCUUGAUCGAUCAACAAAAACCGCCCAACUAAAGACCAGAAAUUUGUCCAAUGUUAGACAACACCUUUUUAGCAGAGACAGUAUCAGUUCUCAAGAUGAUAUUUGCUUGGCCGAAGAAAGUAUUAACUUGACAGAUAUUUUGGAAAAGUUUGUAACUUCUUGCGCGACUUUAAA